rnacentral:rRNA from 1 species
UCAAGUGAAUAAGUGCAUACGACGGAUGCCUUGGCAUUAGAAGGCGAUGAAGGACGUGAUAAUCUGCGAUAAGCUUCGGUUAGCUGAUAAAUUAGCUUUAACCCGGAGAUCUCCGAAUGGGAAAACCCAGUGGUCAUCAGACCAUUAUCCUUAACUGAAUACAUAGGUUAAGGAGGCAAACCUAGGGAACUGAAACAUCUAAGUACCUAGAGGAAAAGAAAUCAACCGAGAUUCCCUUAGUAGCGGCGAGCGAACGGGGAACAGCCCUUAAGCAUAUUUUAAAUUACUAGAAUGUUCUGGAAAGUUCAACGAUACAGGGUGAUAGUCCCGUAUAGGAAAAUUUAAUUUAUGUGAAAUCGAGUAAGGCGGCGCACGUGAAACGCUGUUUGAAUAUGGGGGGACCACCCUCCAAGGCUAAAUACUCUCUAAUGACCGAUAGUGAACAAGUACCGUGAGGGAAAGGCGAAAAGAACCCCGGGAGGGGAGUGAAAUAGAACCUGAAAUCGUAUGCAUACAAGCAGUAGGAGCCCCAUCAAUUAAGCCUCUUUGAUUUAAUUGAUGUUUUGAGUUUAAUCUGAUUAGAUAUUGUUGCUUUAGCAACAAUUAAUACCACUAAUCAAGCAGAGGAAGCUUAAUGAUGGGGUGACUGCGUACCUUUUGUAUAAUGGGUCAGCGACUUACUUCUCAGUAGCAAGGUUAACCAUUAGGGGAGCCGUAGGGAAACCGAGUCUUAAAUGGGCGAUUAGUUGCUGGGAGUAGACCCGAAACCGGGUGAUCUAUCCAUGGCCAGGGUGAAGGUUAGGUAAAACUAACUGGAGGCCCGAACCCACUUAUGUUGAAAAAUGAGGGGAUGAGCUGUGGAUAGGGGUGAAAGGCCAAACAAACCCGGAGAUAGCUGGUUCUCUCCGAAAUCUAUUUAGGUAGAGCGUCAUGUAUUACUUCAGGGGGUAGAGCACUGUUAUGGCUAGCGGGUUGUCAAGACUUAGCAAACCAUUGCAAACUCCGAAUACCUGAAAGUAUGAGCAUGGCAGACACACUGCGGGUGCUAACGUCCGUAGUGGAAAGGGAAACAACCCAGACCGUCAGCUAAGGUCCCAAAAUUGUAGUUAAGUGGGAAACGAUGUGAAAAGGCCCAGACAGCCAGGAGGUUGGCUUAGAAGCAGCCAUUCCUUUAAAGAGUGCGUAAUAGCUCACUGGUCGAGUCGGUUUGCGCGGAAGAUUUAACGGGGCUAAAACUACAUACCGAAGCUACGGAUCAUAAUUUAUUAUGAUGGUAGGAGAGCGUUCUGUAAGCCGUUGAAGGUGUCCUGUGAGGGAUGCUGGAGGUAUCAGAAGUGCGAAUGCUGACAUGAGUAACGAUAAAGGGGGUGAAAAACCCCCUCGCCAGAAGUCCAAGGUUUCCUACGCAACGUUAAUCGGCGUAGGGUUAGUCGGCCCCUAAGGCGAGGCAGAAAUGCGUAGUCGAUGGGAAACAGGUUAAUAUUCCUGUACUUCAUAUAACUGCGAUGGGAAGACGGAGAAGGUUAGCUCAGCAAGGCGAUGGUUGUCCUUGUUCAAGCGUGUAGAAAUGGUUCUUAGGAAAAUCCGGGAACCUCUAUUUCAAGGCGUGAUAACGAGUCCUCUUUUGGACGAAGUGAGUGAUACCAUGCUUCCAGGAAAAUCCUCUAAGCUAUAGGUUAUAUGAAACCGUACCCCAAACCGACACAGGUGGACGAGAUGAGAAUUCUAAGGCGCUUGAGAGAACUCGGGUGAAGGAACUAGGCAAAAUGACACCGUAACUUCGGGAGAAGGUGUGCUCUUUGUAGGUGAUAUCACUAGCUGAUAAAGCUGAAAAGAGUUGAAGAAACCAGGUGGCUCCGACUGUUUAUUAAAAACACAGCACUCUGCAAACACGUAAGUGGACGUAUAGGGUGUGACGCCUGCCCGGUGCUUGAAGGUUAAUUGAUGAGGUUAGGAUUUAUCCGAAGCUUUUGAUCGAAGCCCAAGUAAACGGCGGCCGUAACUAUAACGGUCCUAAGGUAGCGAAAUUCCUUGUCGGGUAAGUUCCGACCUGCACGAAUGGCGUAACGAGGGCCACACUGUCUCCACCCGAGACUCAGUGAAAUUGAAAUUGCUGUUAAGAUGCAGUAUACCCGCGGCCAGACGGAAAGACCCCGUGCACCUUUACUACAGCUUUGCAUUGAACUCUGAUCCUACCUGUGUAGGAUAGGUGGGAGACUUUGAAACUUUAACGCUAGUUAGAGUGGAGUCAUCCUUGAAAUACCACCCUGGUAUGGUUGGGGUUCUAACCUUGGUCCGUUAUCCGGAUUGGGAACAAUGCAUGGUGGGUAGUUUGACUGGGGCGGUCUCCUCCUAAAGAGUAACGGAGGAGCGCAAAGGUACCCUCAGCACGGUCGGACAUCGUGCAAUGAGCGCAAAGGUAAAAGGGUGCUUGACUGCGAGACUGACACGUCGAGCAGGUAGGAAACUAGGUCUUAGUGAUCCGGUGGUUCUGAGUGGAAGGACCAUCGCUCAACGGAUAAAAGGUACGCCGGGGAUAACAGGCUGAUACCGCCCAAGAGUUCACAUCGACGGCGGUGUUUGGCACCUCGAUGUCGGCUCAUCACAUCCUGGGGCUGAAGCAGGUCCCAAGGGUAUGGCUGUUCGCCAUUUAAAGUGGUACGCGAGCUGGGUUUAGAACGUCGUGAGACAGUUCGGUCCCUAUCUACCGUGGGCGUUGGAGACUUGAGGGAAGCUGUUCUUAGUACGAGAGGACCGGAAUGGACACACCUCUGGUGUUUCGGUUGUGACGCCAGUCGCAUUGCCGAGUAGCUAUGUGUGGAAAGGAUAACCGCUGAAAGCAUCUAAGCGGGAAGCCCCUCCCAAGAUUAGGUCUCCCUGGAUAUUUAAUAUCCCUGAAGAUCCCUCGAAGACUACGAGGUUGAUAGGCACGGUGUGGAAGAGUAGUGAUACUUGAAGCUAACGUGUACUAAUUGAUCGUGAGGCUUGACCAU